rnacentral:rRNA from 1 species
GAUGAACGCUGGCGGCGUGCCUAACACAUGCAAGUCGAGCGAACGGACGCGUACGUUGCUUCUCUGAUGUUAGCGGCGGAAGGGUGAGUUACACAUGCAUACCUUCCCUAUAAGACUGGGAUAACUUCCGGAAACCGUAGCUAAUUACGGCUAAUCUUUUGAACCGCUUGGUUCAAAAGUUCUAGACGGUCUUGCUUGUACUUAUAGCCUGUUCCCCGCUGCAUUAGCUAGUUGCUAAGGUAACGGCUUACCAAGGCAACGAUGCAUAGCCGACCUGAGAGGGUGAUCAGCCGCACAGGAACUGAGACACGGUCCAGACUCCGACGGGAGGCAGAAGGAGGGAAGCUUCCGCAAUGAGCGAAAGCCGGACGGAGCAACGCCGCGGGAGUGAUGAGGGUGUUCUGAUCGUAAAACGCUGUUAUUAGGGAAGAAGAUAUGUGGAAGUAACUGGGCACAUCGUGACGGUAGCUAAACAGAAAGCCACGGCUAACUACGUG